CUUCUGCGCCCUAACAAAUAGAGUGAGUGGGUAGAAGGGACUGUCUCUUCCAAAGGGCAGCUAAACACCCCACAGUGGGGACGCAGUCCCCUCUUUCUUGCUGAGAGAAGAGCCUGAAAUAGCCCCAGGGGCGGAGAAAGGUUGAGUCUGGAGGUCUUCUGACCACUAAGGUUAAAGAUUUUGAGGACUCCCGAAGCCUCUAGUAAGCCAGGUUAGCAGGUUUUAACUCAGGCCUGGGAACGACCGGAAGCCUAACUCUCCACUCUAGACUGCUGGUGUCCUUUGCACCCAACCUCACCAAGGACUGAGUCACUGGAGCAUCUAUCUGCACGCUGCGGUUUCGACUUUCCCCCAAGUGCAUAGCGCCACAGGCAACCAAGCCAGAAUAAUAGCUAAUCUAGUUUAAUUUCUGAGGUCUGCACCUCUGACUGCGACAUCUCUGAUGGGGCUCUGUCCCCCAACACUGCCAUCCGGAGGCAUCGGACCACGACGUGAGAUUGGAUGAGGAUGAACUGCACAGCGUCGACCAGACGGAAUGUGGAAUUAGAGUGGAAAGCAAUAAUUCUGAGAAGUGGGAAGGCUUCGUGGGAGCAGGCAGCGGUACCGUAAAAAGAAGAAAAGAAAUCCUGCAUAAAAAGAAAUGCGUAGAAAUCUUGUUCCGGUCAGUGGGGAUGAAGAGCAACCUCUCGCCUUGUGGUUCUGUCCAUGCUUGGCAGACGGAAGCAGGAGCCAGAGACUCUGCUCAGCCUGCAGACCGUGGCCUGAGCUGCUCUGCUGAGUCACUGUCUGACAGUGACAGGGCACAAAGUGUACCACAGGACUGCAAACUGCUUUAUGCUGUAGGAAGGAUAAAUAUCACGGAAGGCACUCUUUCUUAAAAAUAGAAAAUUCUCUCCUCUACUCCCUGCUUUUGUGUGUGUGUGUGUGUGUGUGUGAGGGGAGAGAGAGAGAGAGUCUCACCACAUGGCUAGGCUUGUCUUAAACUUGUAAUCCUCCUGCCUCAGCAGCCCCUCCAAGUGCUGGGUCUAUCCAGGUCCAGUUAUGGGGCUGGAGAGAUGGCUCAGUGAUUAAGAGCACUGGCCAUUCUUCCUGAGGACCUGGGUUCAGUUCCCAGCACCCACUUAGUGGCUCACAACCAUCUGUAACUCCAGUCCCUAGGGAGCCAACACACUCUUCUGGCCUCUGGGUAGACCAGGCACAUACUUGCUACACAGAUAUACAAUCAGAGAAGACAUCCAUACACAUAAAAUAAUUUUAAAUAAAUAAAUAGACCUUAAAAGUGUUUGUUUGUUUGUUUUCUAAAAAUCAGCUAUGGGAUUAGAGAGAUGGCUCAGUGGUUAAGAGCACUGGCUGCUCUUGCAGAGGACGUAGGUUCAGUUCCCAACACUUACCUGACAGCCCACAGCUACCUGUAACUCUAGUUCCAGGGGCUCUGAUGCCCUCUUCUGGUCUCCACAGACCCCAGUCACUUAAAUGUUAUAUCUGCAUGCAUGCAGGCACCCACACGUGCAAAAUAAAAUGAUUUU
ensembl:processed_transcript 1810059H22Rik RIKEN cDNA 1810059H22 gene